rnacentral:rRNA from 1 species
AGUGAACGCUGGCGGUAGGCCUAACACAUGCAAGUCGAACGGCAGCACAGUAAGAGCUUGCUCUUACGGGUGGCGAGUGGCGGACGGGUGAGGAAUACAUCGGAAUCUACUUUUUCGUGGGGGAUAACGUAGGGAAACUUACGCUAAUACCGCAUACGACCUACGGGUGAAAGCAGGGGAUCUUCGGACCUUGCGCGAUUGAAUGAGCCGAUGUCGGAUUAGCUAGUUGGCGGGGUAAAGGCCCACCAAGGCGACGAUCCGUAGCUGGUCUGAGAGGAUGAUCGGCCACACUGGAACUGGGACACGGUCCAGACUCCUACGGGAGGCAGCAGUGGGGAAUAUUGGACAAUGGGCGCAAGCCUGAUCCAGCCAUACCGCGUGGGUGAAGAAGGCCUUCGGGUUGUAAAGCCCUUUUGUUGGGAAAGAACAGCAGCAGGUUAAUACCCCGCUGUUCUGACGGUACCCAAAGAAUAAGCACCGGCUAACUUCGUG